rnacentral:ncRNA from 1 species
UGGUGCUACUUGAUAGGUAAAAGGGAAUCUCGUGAAAAGCGAGAGUGGAAACCGCCACUGUAAGCAGCUCAAGGGCUGAAUCAGUCACUGUUUUAAAAAAUGGGAAGGCUGAUUCUUUAUAGCCGCUGCAAGCCAGGAAACCUGCCACUAAUAAC